GGGGAAGUCCAUCGGCUCAGUGGCAGAGCAUCUGCUUUGCAUACAGAGGGUCCUGGGUUCAAUCCCCAUUAGCCUCU